UACGAAGGGGACUAGCGUUGUUCGGAAUUACUGGGCGUAAAGCGCACGUAGGCGGAUUUGUUAGUCAGGGGUGAAAUCCCGGGGCUCAACCUCGGAACUGCCUUUGAUACUGCAAAUCUCGAGUCCGAUAGAGGUGGGUGGAAUUCCUAGUGUAGAGGUGAAAUUCGUAGAUAUUAGGAAGAACACCGGGUGGCGAAGGCGGCCCACUGGAUCGGUACUGGACGCUGAGGUGCGAAAGCGUGGGGAGCAAACAGG
rnacentral:rRNA from 1 species